rnacentral:lncRNA from 1 species
ACUCUCUCACACACACACUUUGAACUCUCCCCCCUUCUCUCUAGACAAACAGCAGCAACCACCAUCAAACCCACCACCACCAACCACCAGCCGCCGUCACCUGGUGGCACUGCCGCCACCACCACAAUAUUAAAAAUGUAUUAUUUUCAACAAUUAGUCUUUGACUCUUAGUCUGAUCGAAACCCAGCAAUAUUUUCCACCCGCUGCAACCCAACCCAAUCCCAUGACCAUCGCCACUGUCAACUUACCACUACCACACACACUGUAAAAACCCACCACCACCACCACAAGUACACACAAUCAUCAUCCAAACACAUAACUAAUAAGUAAUAUUAAAUCCAAAUUUCGAAUCACUAUAUACAAAUUAACUCACAUUUUGCUUCUGUGACGUAUGAAGAACACCAUACCCAAUUUCCGGAGCUCUCUUAAUAAACUCCUACCGAAACGCUACACUCGGUCUUGAUCCACCACACCCUUGGUUCCACCACCUCCUCCGUUACUGUUAACUCCGGCCGCCACAUUCGCCGACAACACCGACUUUCUCAGUCUCUCUGUUAUGCUUGAAAACUGAUUCUAAAACUCUAGAUGAAGUGGCUAAUUGCUUUUAGGAGAUGAAAUUGGAACAGAUCUGAUGAGUAUCUAAUUGUGUGUGGUGGGGUUAUUAAAAGAGAGAGGAUGAAGAAGAGGGGUGGGUCAUCUUUGUAUUUUUUUUUUAAUUUUCAGAUCUGUUUAGGGUUGAGGUGGCCGGCGGUAGGUGGAGGUGCUAGGUUGCAGGUAGAGAGAUGGAGGAGAGAGAGAGAGAGGGAAGUGGUGGUAGGUUAGGGUUCAAUUGUGAUGGGGUGAUAGUGGUGGUGCCGUGGUGGUGGUAGGUGGUUCUUGAGAGUAGUGGUGGCAAAUGUGUUUGUGGAUUUGUGAUAAAAGUCAGAUGCAGAGAAAAUGUUGAGGAUAUACAUGUUAAUAUAUAUUAAUUAGUUUUGUAUAUGUUAAUAUUAGUUUCGUAUAUAUAUAAGGGUAAAAAGAUAUCUAUACCCUCAUGUGUAAUGGACAUGACCUAUUUUAACAAGAAAUUUUAACAUUGUUAGUGCUAAAGGACGAAAGAUGUACUGAGUUUUCCAAAUAAAGGACUUUGAUUGUAAUUAUUGAAGUUAAAGGUCAUCCGUUGCAAUCCGGUACAAACAUAAGUGACGAAAAAUGUAAUUUACCCUAGUGUUUUUUGGUGUUAUAUAGUGUUAUAUGAUGGAUGUAUAGUGUUAUAUAGUGUUAUAUGGUAUUUAUAUAG